rnacentral:lncRNA from 1 species
GAGAAGGCGUAAGGUCAGCCGGACGGGGGGAGCCUGAUCAGUGACCUCAGCAUGGCCUUUGGGAAGGGACGAGGCCGGCCCACUAUCCCCCUAGCUUAAACAUGCCCAGCCUGGGACCGGCACUAUUCACAAUAGCCAAGACAUGGAAAACAAUCUAAAUGUCCAUCAGCAGAUGAAUGGAUUCAGAAGAUGUGGUACCUAUGCACAACGGAAUACCAUUCAUCCAUAAAGGACAAAAUAAUGCCAUUUGCAGCAACAUGGUUGGAACUAGAGAUUCUCAUAGUAAGUGAACUAAGUCAGAAAAGAAAGACAAAUACCAUAUGCUAUCACUUACAUAUGGAGUCUAAAAUAUGGCACAGAUGAAUCUAUCUCUAGAACAGAAACAGACUCUCAGACAUGGAGAACAGACUUGUGGUUGCCAAGGGGGAAGGCGAGGGAGUGGGAUGGACUGAGAGUUCGGGAUUAGUAGACGCAAAAUAUUACGUGUAGAAUGGAUAAGCAAUGAAAUCCUGCUGUAUAGCACAGGGAACUAUAUCCAAUCACUUGUGAUGGAACAUGAUGGAGGAUAAUAAGAGAAAAAGAGUGUAUAUAUACGUGUGUGUGUGUGUGUGUGAGAGAGAGAGAGAAACUGGGUUGCUUUGUUGUACAGCAGAAAUUGAUAGAACGUUGUAAAUCAAGUAUAGUACAAUUUUAAAGACUUAUUGAGGGAAACAUCUCAAUUAGCUGAAAUUUGGUAGAAGGAGGGUGGUUUCUCUUUUACUCAAAAGUUAAAGUUUUAGACGUGGUCUAUCAAUCCCCACACACACCCUCCCUAAACUACUCAUCUAUUUCUCUGACCUCACUUCCUACUAUUCUCCCCACUAUCAACACCCCGCAGAUAUCUGUGUGGCUCUGGCUCCACUUUCUUGAAGUCUUUGCCCAAAAUUUAUUUCCUCAGCGAGGCUACCCUAUGUAAAGCUGGCCCUUCCAAUCACUUCAUUUGCUCUUUCCCCCCAUAGCACAUGUUGACCUUCUAACAGAUCUGUAUAAUUUACUCACAUAUUAUCUUUAUUGUUCAUGUCUUCCUAGAAUAUAAGCACCACAAGGGCAGGAAUUUUGCUAUUCUGUUCAAUUUACUAAUGUGAAACAAACAGAACGGUGUUGGCAAAUAUGUUCAAUAGAUGCAUAUUGAGUGAAUGAGUACAUAUCUACAUAUGGUCAUGUGUUCUAAGUUACUUAUAAGGAAAGACCUAUAUAAAGAGAAGUUUGCAUAAUGGUUAAACACUCAGAUUUGGGGGAGUUCCCUGGUUGCCUAGUGGUUAAGGACUCAGCAUUAUCAUUGCUGUGGCUCAAGUUUGGCCCCCUGGCCUGGAAACUUCCACAUGCUGUGGGCACAGGCCAAAAAAAAAAAAAAAA